AAGAAAACUAUAUAAUCAAGGUUCACGUUGAACAUCAAAGAUUACCCAAACAAAAAAAAAAGAAACAAGAAGGGAAAAAAAGAUGGCAUAUUUUCGUGCAUGGAUGGUCCUGACACUGAUAGCAUUCAUGGGUAUUACCAAGAGCACGGCCGGAGAAGAUGAUCCCCUCUUCGACGAGAAAGCAGAAAUAAGCAGAGAAGCCAUGAGACGAGACGGAGUUCCUUGCGGAACGGGAGGUGUCAUGAACUGUCGCCCCGGAGCAGUGGCUAAUCCUUAUGAAAAAGGCUGCAAUCCUGCGAACGGAUGCAGGACUUGACGACAACCAGGACUAACAACAACCCGCACGCAAGUGGGCAUGAUUCCUCGAAUAAAGAAGGCAAUUGAGAUCUCUAAACCGCCUCCGUGACGUUUUGCUUUUGAUGACGAAUUAGUUUCCCCAUUCUUUCAUGUUUCUCUUUCUUUUUUUUUGGUUAAUGUUAUGCAGAAAAUGCAAUAUUUUCCGCAUAUAAUAUUUUCCACAUUGUGGUAGAUUAUUACCCCUAUUAAGUUUUGAUGCAUUAUUUGAUAAUAAAGGACUGUAAAUUCCCGGUGGAA